rnacentral:rRNA from 1 species
GCAUAAUCAUUUGUCUAUUAAUUGUGGACUAGAAUGAACGGGUAAACGAAAUAAUUUCUGUUUCAUUAUGUUAUAUAAAAAUUAACCUAUAAGUGAAGAUGCUUAUAUCAAAUUGAAGGACAAGAAGACCCUAUAGAGCUUUAAUUAACCUACUACACGCUAGUAAUAAAUAUUGGUUGGGGCGACCAAGGAUAAAUCAUCCUUAAAUUAAUAGAUUUAUUAAUCAAAUAAGUGAGCUUUUUUAUAAACUAUCAAACAAAGUUACCUUAGGGAUAACAGGCUAAUCUCAUUUUAGAGUUCCUAUCACAAAUGAGGA